CAUCGAAAAUCAUAAACAACAAUGAGAGCGAUCAGAGAAAUAUAACAAACAUUGAUAACACUACGACGAU
rnacentral:misc_RNA from 1 species